rnacentral:rRNA from 1 species
GACGAACGCUGGCGGCGUGCUUAACACAUGCAAGUCGAACGGAAAGGCCCUGCUUUUGUGGGGUGCUCGAGUGGCGAACGGGUGAGUAACACGUGAGUAACCUGCCCUUGACUUUGGGAUAACUUCAGGAAACUGGGGCUAAUACCGGAUAGGAGCUCCUGCUGCAUGGUGGGGGUUGGAAAGUUUCGGCGGUUGGGGAUGGACUCGCGGCUUAUCAGCUUGUUGGUGGGGUAGUGGCUUACCAAGGCUUUGACGGGUAGCCGGCCUGAGAGGGUGACCGGCCACAUUGGGACUGAGAUACGGCCCAGAAUCCUACGGGAGGCAGCAGUGGGGAAUAUUGCACAAUGGGCGGAAGCCUGAUGCAGCAACGCCGCGUGCGGGAUGAAGGCCUUCGGGUUGUAAACCGCUUUCGCCUGUGACGAAGCGUGAGUGACGGUAAUGGGUAAAGAAGCACCGGCUAACUACGUG